rnacentral:rRNA from 1 species
AUUGAACGCUGGCGGAAGGCCUAACACAUGCAAGUCGAGCGGAGCGGCGGACGGGUGAGUACUGCCUAGGAAUCUGCCUGGUGGUGGGGGAUACCGUCCGGAAACGGGCGCUGAUACCGCAUACUAUCAGCUGAGCCUAGGUCGGAUUAGCUAGUGGGUGGGGUAAAUGCCUACCAAGGCGACGAUCCGGAACUGGGCUGAGAGGAUGAUCAGUCAGACUGGUACUGAGACACUGUCCAGAGUCCUAGGGCAGGCACCAGUGGGGAAUAUUGGACAACGGGCGAAAGCCGGAUCCAGCCCUGCCCCGUGUGUGAAGAAGGUCUUCGGAUUGUAAAGCAAUUUAAGUUGGGAGGCGUUACCGACAGAAUACUCACCGGCAAACUGGGUGCCAGCCGCCGCGGUAAUAC